UCCCUAGUGGUCUAGUUGUUAGGAUUUGGCACUCUCAUUGCUGUGGCCCGGUUUGGUUCCUGGUCAGGGAA